UACUCAGUUUCCUUAUCUGUAAAAAUAGUGAUAAUAAUAGCACCUACCUUCUUAAGAGGACAAAACAAGAUAACAAUGUAAAUGUAAGUUCAGUUUCAUAAAAAUGUUAAAUGCUGGCAAUGGGGCAAAGGAGACUUUCUCUAUAUUGGACAGGUAUGAAGUUCAAAAUCAACCCUUCAUGAAUUCCUAAAAUACUCUAACUGUGCUAACAUGUCCAGGGAAAAGGCUAAUUGAAAUCACCACAAGUAUCUUUCUUAGAGGAGAAAAAACCCGAACCUUUUCCAGCAAAUGCAUUUAUGGUUUUAAGUCACAGAAAAUAAAGUCAAGAUGAGUUCUGCAACAUGAAGAGGAGUGAUAUAAAAUAUCAUGGAUGAAUUUACUGGGAAACAUUUUGUUUCUGACAAUCACUAAAGUGAUACUGAAAACUGGGAAUGCUGGUAGGUUUGAAAAAAAGACACCUCCUUGUCACCAAAAAAGUAUUCCCAAACUCUAGGUUUUAAUUUUCUCACUUUCAUCAUGAGGCAGUUGGGCUAGAUAUCUUUAAGGAACCUUCCAACUCUAAACACCUUGAUCUAUCAACUCAAGCUCUUAACCAGUUGGUAUUCCAAGUUAGAUAAUGGGUGAUGUAAGUAGUUCUAGAAGCUUUCUGGUUAAGAGAGAAGCAUGAGAAAAAGAGAAGAAAAUGAGCAUCAAAAUCUCCCUAAAGUACAGCCACAUAAGACCAAAUGGCCCAAUGAUUUUCAUCUUUUAACUGUAUUCAGAAUAGGAGGACUUUUAAACAUCUUGAUAUCAUUCAUUCCACUCUCUUUUGGUUUUCCUGACUUUUGGUUCUUGUGGGUAAAAUUAAAGAAGGCUUAGAGUGAUGGAAAGUUCCUUAUGAAGGCACCAUAAUAACAGGAAUUUAUAUUUUAGGAAGCCAAGGGAGAGCAAUUUAGUUUUUAGUUGGAAAUAGGCAGACUUUCUUAUUAGUCAGAUUUAUAUUUAAAAUGACUUCUACUAGCAUUUAACAUGUUUGAACAGCUAUUACCCUAACCUGUUUCAUAACCAGGCAAUGCUCAAGUAGUAUAUCUCACAUACAUGGCAGUCUGACUGACAUGGCUCAUGACCAUGAGAGAGGGGGAGAGCCUUACCUGCUUAUGCAGUAGAAAGCAAUGAGUCUGAAUAAAUCUGCAAAACUGAUCCCAGA